CAGGGCAGCAGAUCAGGGCGUUCACCCGCUAAAUUUAAGCAUAUAAGUCAGCGGAGGAAAAGAAAUCAAUAGAGAUUCCCUAGGUAGCUGCGAGCGACCAGGGACAAGCCCGAGACCGAAUCCCUCUGUGCUACAAGCCAUUUGGGACCUGUAGUCUAAGGGUCGGUUCGCCACGGGGAAGCCCACAGCACACAGGCUGAGAUCCUGGAGCACAGAGCGUUACACACGAUCUGGUGGGUGGAACUGGGUAUCGGACCGUUCCCGUGAGUAGGUUAGCUUGAAGUGCUAGCUGAAUAUGGGUGGUGCUGGCCAUCCAAGGCUAAAUACGAAAGCAAGGGACCGAUAGCGAACAAGUACCGUAAGGAAAGCUGAAAAGCACCUCGUUUGAGGAGCUCAAAGAGCAUGAAAUCCGUCUAAUGCGAAUGGGACAUCCCAGCUCGUCGAAAGGUGUUGGGUAGGGUUGAGGGGUGCCAUAAUGCACUGAGUACGGCACCGCUGUGGUAGAGGGGUCUAAUGGAAACCGACUGUCGGGCGAUCAGGCUUACGGGCUAGACCGUCCAAUGUUGGUGGAAGUAUGACCUUUCGCCAUCUAGGCUUGCACCGACCCGCAAGAAGGGACAGGUGUGCUAGAGCAAGGGUUUCCCACCCGUCUUAAACGUGUUUUGAGACUAAAAGCAACUAGAAAUAGCGUGCUAGUCCUUGGGAGCAAUCCCCUUGGGCGACACCUUCAAAUUGCGGGAAGUCCCUAAAGCCUUAUCUACCAACCGCGCGCCGAAAGGCGGAAAAAUACGGGGCGUUAAUACCUCUUUGAGUGGGGGAGUCGCCGUCGCGGGGCCAGGGUAAUGACCUCGGGUAGGGUAAAAACGAUGAGGAUGGUAAGGACGCUAAGCCUUGACCUAAGGGUUCACGGAUCUAAGGGUUCACGGAUCUAAGGGUUCACGGAUCUAAGGGUUCACGGAUCUAAGGGUUCACGGAUCUAAGGGUUCACGGAUCUAAGGGUUCACGGAUCUAAGGGUUCACGGAUCUAAGGGUUCACGGAUCUAAGGGUUCACGGAUCUAAGGGUUCACGGAUCUAAGGGUUCACGGAUCUAAGGGUUCACGGAUCUAAGGGUUCACGGAUCUAAGGGUUCACGGAUCUAAGGGUUCACGGAUCUAAGGGUUCACGGAUCUAAGGAUUUAGGGUCUACGCGUCCAAGCCAAUGGGUAAUCCGCAGCCAAGUUCCGAAGCUUAAGGGCAUUCGCUUAUACACAGUGGGACCGAAUCUAUGGAUUUAAACGAGUAGGGUUCUAAACGAGUAAGGUUACAACGUGUUAAGCGAGUUGCAGCGUCUCCCCAAGGGUAAGUGACCAAAAUGGCGGUCACACUUUACCUAUGGUAACGGGAGAUGCCAAGCCUUAAAGGAAUGCAGUUCAGAGACUAGAUGUGGGUGGGUGAGGUUCCUUCUAAAGGGGCCUUGCUUAAGGUAUAGUCCGGCCCCUUCCGAAAGGUUGGGGGUGUGCUAACGCCGGUGACACAGUUAGGCUUAAGCUUAACAAGCGUCUAAGGCUAAGCGCAUACCGGAAACACGGACCAAGGAGUCUAACGUACAUGCAAGUCAUGCAGCCUUCAAGCUGUACGGCGAAGCUAAUGCAAAAAGCACCAAGGGGUUCCUCGGAGCCCCCGCACUGCUCUCCUAACCGGGCUUCGGGCUUGGAUUGGAGUUUGAGCAUGUCAUGUUAGGUCCCGAAAAACGACGAGCUAUGCUUGAGUAGACCGAAGCCAGGAGAAAUCUUGGUGGAAGGUCGUAGCAGUACUGACGUGCAAAUCGUUUGUCAAACUUGAGUAUAGGGGCGAAAGACCAAUCGAGUCGUUUAGUAGCUGGUUUCCACCGAAGUUUCCCUCAGGAUACAAAGGAGUAUCGAGUUUACCGCGGUAAAGACAAUGAUUAGGAGCACCAGGGGACAUCGUCCUUGGCUCAUUCUCAAACUUUUAAUGCUGUAUAGACCUUAGGCUGUCGUAAACGCAGCCUUCGGUCGAAUCACAGGUUCCUUUAGUGGGCCACGUUGGUAAGCAAGGAUGGCAAAAAGGGUUCAAACUUGUGCCCGGUUAGGUUCUCGAAUACGCUGGCAAUCACAACCUAAAAAGGUAUUGCCCCUAGACGACAGCUGGACAGUGGCCUAGGAAGCCGGCAUCUGCUAAGGAGUACCAAUGCGCGCUCCUAAAAGGACGGAACAAAGAGCCGAUCCUAGUUCGCUCUCUCCCCGAUUUGAUCUCAAAAGCCGAAUCUGCACAUAAUGGCGUGCAGAACUGGUAAUGGGAAAACAGACAAAGAGGGGAGGGUUAAUACUUGAGUAGGUUACCUUCGGGUAGCCGAAAGGAGGCGGGCGACACUACCAAAUUGCGGGGAAGCCCUAAAGGUCGACGUACUAACUGCAUCGCGGUAACGCAUGCAGGGCCCAGAUCGGAACUGGGGGAUAGUAACAAUCGUCGAUAUGAUAGGAGAGCAAUCUUCUUGAAAUGGGUAAUCCGCAGCCAAGUCCCUAACCAUACUGUUACAGGUGUGGAGGGAUGCAGUUCACAGACUAGAUGGUGGUGGGUGAGGGUUACUACGGUUCCCUUGCUUAAGGUAUAGUCGAACCCACCCUGAAAGGGGUGAAGGGAGGAGGAAAGCAGCUAACCGCUGUCUGGAGAGUCUCUCUUGUCGGGCAUUCCCGUACCCAGCUACCCUCCUCUUCCCCUUAAGGGGGAGGGGGAACAAAGGGAAGAGGGGAAGGGGUUUGUUCGGUGGAUCAAUUGGCGUAACAGCUCACCAGCCGAAUGGGGUAGUCCUGAAAAUGGACGAGGUUCAACCAGUGAGACCAUACCGGGCCGAGCACCUAAUAAAGCGGCAAGCGGGAGCAAUCCUGCGCUAUCAUGGGUUAAACGAGUAGGGCGGAUACCCCGGUCGGGUUGAAGCGGGCUGUUGACAGCUCGUGGACUGGCCGGGGCAGCAGAUCUUGGUAGUAGUAGCAAGUAUUCAUAUGCAACACUCUGAAGGCCGAAGUGGAGGAGGGUUUCUCAACAACAGCAGUUGAUUGGGGGUUAGUCGGAAUCUAAGUGCCAAGGGAAACCUAGGUUAACCGGGGUAGUACGCUUUGGCUCGGGCAACUGACAAUAGGCUGGAAACCCCAGGCACGACAGAGAAGCCGGUUAAUAUUCCUGCACUUGACCGGUGAGCAGUGGGCAACCUUAAUGCAAUGUUCGAAGCUGGUGACGCAAUUGGGCUUAGCGAGAGGGAUUUUCCCUCCUUGUUACGACCGUUAUGUGCUCUGGAGAGUAUGCAUUGUGCAGAGAUCCAGGCAUCCUACGGUUAGAGAGUAUGCCAGUUUUUGGUGUAUUCGCUAUUGCCUUUCAUUGCCCUAGAAAAGCCAGUGGUUGAACGAAAAGCGUUGUUCGCCGGUCAAACCGUACCUAAUCCGCAUCAGGUCUCCAAGAUGAGCAGUCUCUGGCGCAUAGAACAAAGUAGCGUAAGGGAAUUCGGCAAGCCAGAUUCGUAACUUCGGGAUAAGGAUUGGCUCUACAGGCUGGGCUUACUGGGCCGUGUAAGACGUGGGAUCAGUCGUCAAGUAAUCAGGAAGCCUUUCGGGGUGGACUGGUGAACGAUGGCCCUCGCGUUGACAAGCGGAUCGGUAGGGUGGUUCGCCACUCGACUGAAAACCGGUAGGCCGCUAACAGCUUACAUAGAACUUAUAAAGGCAAGGGGAAUCCAACUGUAUAAUUAAAACAUAGCGAUUUGUCGAUGCUAAAGCGUGUAAACGAAUCGUGAUUUCUGCCCAGUGCUCUGGAUGUUAAAAUGGCGAAAUCCAACCAAGCUCGGGUAAUCUAAUUGCCCGAGGGGACCUUGCAAGUCCCCUAGUCCGACGCCUUUCGGGGCUCGGGCAACACUCCUUGAUGCUGGGAACUCCUUAGAGCCACACCUACCAAAGUCAGUUACCGAAAGGGCUGGCCUAAACCUCUAGCUAAGGGGUCGGUGAUAACGGUGUCGGAUUGGACGAUCAGCAGGGUUACUGCCUAAACCCUCCUUCCCCUUUCCCCUCCCCCCCUUAGAUGGGGGGUAGGGUGGGGUGGGGGGGCAUGGUGGGCUCUCAACGACUGAACGGGGGUGGGUUAGCAGCUGGAGCCUUAGGGCUCGCCCUGCUGGCUUAAGAUACAGUCUACUCCCCGGGGAAACCCGGUUCGCCCUUAAGCAAGGCGGGGACCUUUGAUGCCAGCAGGAAAUGGUUGGCGGAGGUCGGUACAAAGGAAACGGCGGGAGUUGAGUCCAACACAGCUCCAGGGGGGUGGGUGCCUCGCCAGGUGCCAACGCAGACACUCCUCUAGUGUGCGAGAGAAAUCCUCGCAUGCGACAUACCUUGUUGCUGGGAAACCCUUAAGCUCCACCAGCCAAGUCCUCUUUCCGAAAGGGGGGGGAUGAGGCCUGAGUUGCCAGGCGGGAGAUAUCGGUGAGGGAUUGGGUGAUCAGCAGGGUUACUGCCUAACCUGUUAGAAAAAGGGGGCCCUGGUACCUCGGUACUGGGGCUUGCCGUGCUAGCAGUAUCGGUGGGCUCUCAACGACUGAACGGGUGUGGGUCGGUAGUUCGCUACUGGCUUAAGAUACAGUCUACUCCCUGGCGAAAGUCAGCAUUCCCUUAGAAAGGAGUGGCCUCGAGAUCCCAGCAGGAAAUGGUUGGGGGAGGGUGGUAUCAAGGAACUAUGACUCUCUUAAGGUAGCCAAAUGCCUCGUCAUCGUACAAAGAAACGACUCGUCAUCGUAUAAACAGACUCUCGUCAUCGUACAAAGAAACGACUCGUCAUCGUAUAAACAGACUCUCGUCAUCGUACAAAGAAACGACUCGUCAUCGUAUAAACAGACUCUCGUCAUCGUACAUUGUGAUAGCCGAAGGCGUGCUUUGUCCCUGGACGUACCCGAUGACAAGGGGCGAAGGGAGAUGAAGUCGUCUUUAGGGUUAAAAUGCAGGAAGGGGAGGGGACCCGCUACUCCGGUAGAUGGGGAACCGUUUGACCCGACCAGCAGCCAAGCCUCUUAUCUAGAAUACCUCCUUUAUACCCUUACGUAGGAUUUGAUUGGUCGUUCGGGGAACUGGGGGAUUCGGUAAGGCGGAAGGUGCAGAGACUAGAAAGCCCGAAGGCGAAAAAGGAUAGUCCACCAGACUUGGGACAGCAGAGACGUGUGGCUUGUCGCUUAGGCGGCAUGGGCCAGUGGCCUCGUAUUGCUCAACCGGUCGAUUAAAACAUGGGGGAGCCGUCACCCCCGGUGUUAAUUUGUGACGCGCAUGAAUGGAUUAAUGAGAUUCCCACUGUCCCUACCUACUAUCUAGCGAAACCACAGCCAAGGGAACGGGCUUGGCACAAUUAGCGGGGAAAGAAGACCCUGUUGAGCUUGACUCUAGGCACAGAAGCGAGGUGAUUCUAAAGGUGUAGCAUAGGUGGGAGGGCCCAGCCGUCCAUGAAAUACCACCACUUUCGACAUUGCUUUGCUAAUGCUGUAACGAACGAACGACACCCAAGGGCUUUACGCACCUAGGGUAAGUCAUAUUCUAGCGUUUUCCAGGCACGUCGAUGGGUCAAACCCUCUGGGUGAGUACCUCGAGACCACAAACUGGGCUUCCGGGUCUUGGUGCGUGUUGCUCUUGGGGAACUGGAGGUCGUGCGACUGUCCUCUGCGGGCAUUAAACUGGUACGUAAUCCGUGUAGCAGACACUCUGUGUUGGGGAGUUUGGCUGGGGCGGAAAACUGCUACACGGCAACGGCAGUCUCCUAAGGUCCACUCAGAGACGACAGAAACGUCUCGUAGAGCAUAAAGGCAAAAGUGGGCUUAACUCACGUUUUCAGUAGUAAUGUGAAGCAAGAAAUUGCGGCUUAACGAUCCUUAGCAGCGGGUGCCAGCCCACGCUUGAGGUGAGAGAAAAGUUACCACAGGGAUUGAUAAAGGUAACGGGGGAGAGAUAGGAGUAGCGAACCAUCCUCCCCUAACAGUUCCAAACGAACACACGAAGGUACGACCGAAGUGCAUAAGGAGGAUUCUAACUGUGGCCUAUGCACUUAGGUACGACCGAACCAACCGACCUAAGCGCGCAAGGAGGAUUCAGACUAUGGCCUUGUGCGUUAAGGGAGGAACCCCCCCCUAACCCGAAGCGCGUAAGAGAGGAUUUAAGCUAUGGCCUUAUGCGCUGAGGGCGGGGGGAUCGACUGAAUGCAUAAGGAGGGUUCUAUGGCCUAUGCACGAUGUCAAAGAAUCAGUUAUAACCUAAGGGCGAGGCGCAGGUUGCCCGAAGGUAUAAGCGACGCGCCUGGAUGCUGGGAAGGUCUAUAGGUGAAAAGGGGGUUUUUUGGCAGCCCUAAGUAACCUUAAACGGCAGUGGUACCAAUCGUAUCUCGGUAACACCGGGACGAAGACUCCUCCUCAAGAGCGUAAUGAAAAAGGCCUUGGGGGAAUGGGGGGGUAACAAUCCACUCGCGCGGGACCCAUCAGCAGGCAACGAGGCACCCCAAAAGGCAAAGGAUACUGAGUAACCCCUGGGCAAGGGUAACCAGGCUCCGAACGCCAUAAUGGUAACGGGUGUUAAGUGCUUCAAGGACUGGUAAGGUGCGGGCUCCGUUUGACCUUGUCUACACUAAGGGGGGGAGGGAAACAAUGAUACCCCCUCCCUUAAGGCAAGGAUCUUCCUGGGCUUAAGGUACAGUCUCAAGCGGACCUUUAGUAACGGCUGGUAACCGUGAAAGGGGUCUCCUUACCUCACAAUCCCACGACUGCAGGGAAGGGGUAGGGGAGUCUUUUAUAAAGCCUUUCCCUUAAAGGAGGGGGGGAAGGUAAGGCUUGCUCUCUAAAAAGCGUAGAGGAGUUCGACCCUACGCGAUUAACUCGGAACUGGCUUGUGGCCGCCAAGCGUUCAUAGCGACGUGGCUUUUUGAUCCUUCGAAUCGGAGGGUUCAACAGGGGGUGUUAAAAGCGUGUAACCCCCUAGUACCGGAGAUCACUCCUCCUGGUGCGACAUAUCCUGGUUGCGGGAAGCCUUACCCUUAAGUGGGAAACUCGUGCGGUACCACCCUAUCGCCUUAAUGGGCAUAGGGGAACACGGUUAAUUGCCGUACCCAAUGGUAAUAACCCGCAUAGAGGAGGUAAUCUGCAGGGCACUCAGGUGUAACCUAGUCUAGGACCUGGGACUCUCAACGACUGGUAAGGUGUGGGUCGGCAGGAUAACUCCCUGCUGGCUUAAGGUACAGUCUAUUCCCCCCGAGAGGGUGCCGCCCCUUAAGCAAGGGUGGGGACGUGAUCCAGGUCGGAAAUGGCCUGGUGAGUCCGGUACAGCAAAGUCGAUGUCGGCUCUUCCUAUCAUACUAAAGCAGAAUUCAGUAAGUGUUGGAUUGUUCACCCUCUUAAGGGAACGUGAGCUGGGUUACCAUUAGCCCAAAGGUUAACAGGCAUCGCUGAGGCCCCUUACUCGCGGGGGGUUGGUCGGGUGCAGGAACUGUUAGCCCAACUCAGUGCAUAGAGAGAUCGUCAAACUGUUCGGGGAAGCCCUAAAGCCACCAGUACCAAGUCUUGCAUCGAGAGGUGCUUGAUGGAGAUGCUAUUCCAGCAUCGGGUAAUAACCUGGUCGGAUGAGGUGUGGCGGGAUUAAGGCCUUAACAGGCUUUGUCCUGCCUUACCGAAAUGGGUAAUCCGCAGCCAAUCCUGAACUCCUUGAAGAGUAAGCCCCUUAAAAUGGCGAGGGCAUCUGAUAGGGGGAGAGGAAGGUUCAGAGACUGUAAGGCGUACCGCGCAAGCGGAAUAUACAGUCCACUCCCACGGGAAACUGUGCCGGUGACCUAUUAAGCGACCCCAAGUGCAUCUGCCCUUUAAGGGCAGUGGGGAAGCCUAGGGGCCCGGAGGUGCGGUUACGGCCGUACUGGGUACCAAGGUUAGACCGUCGUGAGACAGGUUAGUUUUACCCUCCUACUUGACACCUAGGGGGGCCUCCAUGGCCCGGCAUUGACCUUAAUAGUAGAUCAUCUCAGUACGAGAGGAACCGGUGAUUCAGGCCUCUGGUGUAAAGGCUGCUCGAAAGGGCAGAGCCUUAGCGCUACGCCUGUUGGAUGAAGGCUGGAAGCAUCUAAGCCCGAAGCCAUGCUAGACAAGGUCUUUGCCAUU
rnacentral:rRNA from 1 species